rnacentral:rRNA from 1 species
UACGGAGGGUGCAAGCGUUAAUCGGAAUUACUGGGCGUAAAGCGCGCGUAGGCGGUUUGUUAAGUCGGAUGUGAAAUCCCCGGGCUCAACCUGGGAAUGGCAUUCGAUACUGGCCGACUAGAGUACGAGAGAGGGAGGUAGAAUUCCACGUGUAGCGGUGAAAUGCGUAGAUAUGUGGAGGAAUACCGGUGGCGAAGGCGGCCUCCUGGCUCGAUACUGACGCUCAUGCACGAAAGCGUGGGGAGCAAACAGG